rnacentral:rRNA from 1 species
AUUGAACGCUGGCGGCAGGACUACCACAUGCAAGUCGAGCGAGCGGCGGACGGGUGAGUAAUGUCUGGGAAACUGCCUGAUGGAGGGGGAUAACUACUGGAAACGGUAGCUAAUACCGCAUACCAUCAGAUGUGCCCAGGUGGGAUUAGCUAGUAGGUGGGGUAACGGCUCCCCUAGGCGACGAUCCCUAGCUGGUCUGAGAGGAAGGCCAGCCACGCUGGAGCUGAGACACGGUCCAGACGCCUACGGGAGGCAGCAGUGGGGAAUAUUGCACAUGGGGCGCAAUCCGGAUGCAGCCAUGCCGCGUGUGUGAAGAAGGCCUUCGGGUUGUAAAGCACUUUCAGCGGGGAGGCGUUACCCGCAGAAGAAGCACCGGCUAACUCCGUGCCUGCAGCCUCGGUAAUAC